rnacentral:rRNA from 1 species
UACGGAGGGGGCUAGCGUUGUUCGGAAUUACUGGGCGUAAAGCGCACGUAGGCGGAUCGUUAAGUCGGGGGUGAAAUCCUGGAGCUCAACUCCAGAACUGCCUUCGAUACUGGCGAUCUUGAGUCCGGAAGAGGUGAGUGGAACUCCUAGUGUAGAGGUGGAAUUCGUAGAUAUUAGGAAGAACACCAGUGGCGAAGGCGGCUCACUGGUCCGGUACUGACGCUGAGACGCGAAAGCGUGGGGAGCGAACGAGG